GAGAUGAACUGACGAUUGACGAAGUUCAAGAUUAAUAACGCAAAGAAAAGUAGAAAACAGAACUAUUAAUUUACUAGUUUGGAAACGUACAACCGUGGCUGCACGAACAAUAGUAAAACAAAUCAAAUGAAAAAAAUGUGGUCGUCGUGCCAACUGCGAUUUCGUCUCUUAUCACAAACUCCAUGCUGUUUUAGCGGGUAAAUAAAACUUAAAAUACAAAUAGCAUGAUUCUGGGAGCUUAAUUGGAAGAGUUAAACCUACUCCUAAGUUCCUGACUAUUAUUCAUCAUAUUUGAGACCUGGGCUAGCCUUCGUAACAACCUAAUAUCCAAGUUUUGCUUGUUCCAGUAUUGACCUGUCAGCAGCAACAAUCCCAGCAUCGUUGCAAGGAUAAACAGCAUCCAGUUUGAUUGGAGGACCUACCGAUGUCGGCCAAGUUAUGGAUUUCUUCUUCUCCUUUCUCUAAAUCUCUUCUGUCCUCGUGUACACCCAUGUGUGUGUGGGUGUAUUCACGAGGACCCCCUUUUCCCUAUCCCGCCUGGGAGAUUCAACUUAUCAGCGGACGGAGCACUUGUGGAUGCCUGGCCGUAUUUCCCAGGCAUAAAGGUAGGAAACAUACAUCUCCAUUCUUCCUUUUUUUUCCUAUUUGGUGGCGUUGAUUAUAAAUCGUUACGGAAUACGAUUAUUCCUGAGCUAGGCCGUUGACUGGAACUAAGUUUUCUCUUGCCGAUUUUGUCGACUCAAUUAGGGUUCAUUAAAUAACUCGUUUGUAGAACGACUACACAUUAUCAGGCCUGUUUUCGUACCUCACAACUUAUGUGUGGGUAAACAAUCCAAUCUGGAAAUAUUUUAAAUUUCAACACUCCAAGCAAAGUGCAACUUUUCAGAAAAUUCAAUUAGCCAAAAGGGACUUGCCGUCACACCCAACACCUUCUCGUAAUAACUUGAAAAAAAAAUCUG